rnacentral:sRNA from 1 species
GGAUGCAAAAGUCGUAACACGGUUUCCGUAGGUGAACCUGCGGAAGGAUCAUUCACACAUUACCUCCCGAAGCUGCUUCAGCUUGGAUUUUCGCUCAGAAUAACUCUUUUGGAGUUUUCUGCAUGCGGGACUGUGUGGGGCUGGGGCUGCAGCCGACAGGGGAGAAAAGAUCAGUUUGAGCAAACCUUCGAAUCAAUUAACGCUUUCCAACAAAGUCUUUUUGAAAAUUGAAGCAUGAAAAUUAAAUUUGAAAUUGGAUUUGAUGGAUCUGAAGCGCGCUGGAAGGAGCGGAAGGAGGCGUGCAUGCGGGGAUGGGGCUGCAUGCACGCAUGCGUGCAUGCAUGCAUGAGGGUGGGACUGCGCCCCUGCACGCAUGCACACAUGCGUGCAUGUAUGUGUGUUACCACACGGGAAGGGUGUGGUUGUUUCCUGUGUCCCAUUUUGCCGUAGUUUUGCACAAAUCCGACGUACGGAAGACCAUCUGUUUUUGAGAUUAAAAAAACUUUCAGCAAUGGAUGUCUUGGCUCACGCAUCGAUGAAGGACGCAGCUAAAUGCGAUACGCAUUGUGAAUUGCAGAUUUUAGUGAAUCAUCAGAUUUCUGAACGCAUAUGGCGCUGUUGGUAUUCCCCGGCAGCACGUCUGUUUCAGUGUCUCUUGAUCUUUUCAAGAAAUACACUACCACAGCAUGAUAUGUGCUUGGAGUAGGUUGCCAUGUAUAUAUAUAUAUAUGCGUAUGCUUACUUUGACAUUAAUGGUGUGGUGGUUUCUUUUGCUCGUCGCGAGGGAUAUUUUCCGAUGCGUCGUGUGAAGUUUAUUGGAGAUAUCUUCUUGGUGUGUAGUCGAUAUUCCUUAUCCUCUCGUCCACGAAAGAGAUAUGGUGACUCAGCGAGUGCUACUGGUGGAUAUCUCGGUUAUAUUGGACAGCCCAAUGAAUGGGAUAAAUGGGGCUAUGCGCCUGGUGGUGCGGACUAUGUCGCACCCUGGGAGUAUCGAUGGAUUGCACCUUGAUGUCUCCACAUGUAGUUAAAAUACAUAUAUUUCAUUUUAGACCUGAAAUCAGUCGAGAUUACCCGCUGAAUUUAAGCAUAUUAUUAAGCGGAGGA